rnacentral:lncRNA from 1 species
AUAUCGCAGUUUUGGAACUCUUUCUAGAAGGGUCUUGGUAUCCAGGUUCAUCUCAAUAUAGUAUCUCACCCUUAGACAGAUGGUCAGGCAGAGCGGACCAUUUAGACUUAAGAGGAUAUAUUGAGAGCUUUUGUGAUCAACUUUAAAGGUAAUUGGUACCAUCAUUUAUUUCUCAUUUGAGUUUUCUUACAAAAAUAACUUUUACUCUAUUAUUCGAAUGGCUUCAUUUGAGGCAUUUUAUGGUAGGAGGUGUAGAUCUCUUAUUGGAUGGUUUGAGGUUGGUGAAGAUACUUUUAUAAGGUCAGACUCAAUCAUAAGGAUAUGGAGAAAGUUCAUCUAAUUAGAGAAAGGUUGAAAACAACCCAAAGUCAUUAGAAAUCAUAUGAAAAUGUGAAGAGAAGGGAACUUAAGUUUGUUGUUGAUUAUUGGGUCUAUUUAAAAAUUUCACCCUUGAAAGAAAUAAUGAGAUUUAGUGAGAAGGGGAAGCUUGGUCCCUGGUAUAUUGAUCCUUACAGGAUUCUAAGGCCUAUUGAUAAGGUGGUCUAUAAGUUAAAGUAUCCCAUAGAGUUAACAUCGGUGUACCCAGUCUUUCACGUAUCUAUGUUAUAGAAGUGCAUUGGUGAUCCAACAUCAGUUGUGCCAUUAAAGAGUAUGGAUCUAAAAGAUAGUCUAUCUUAUAAAGAGUUUCUAAUUGAGAUUCGUGACCAUCAAGUUUGUAAGCAAAAAAUAAGAAAGUCUCUUCAGUGAAAGUUCUUUAGAGAAAUCAACUAGUUAAGGGAGCUAUUUGGAAAGAAAAAAUAGAUAUGAUGACAAAGUACUCUCACCUUUUCUCUUCCAAUUCAGUAUUAGCUUUAGGUAACAGUUUCCUCAUUAGUAUUCUUAUUCAUUUCAUGUACCAUUAGUUGUUCCUAUGCUCUUAGUAUGUAUGUAUGUCUCAUCAAAUUUUGCUUAAUUAUAUUUCAGUCAGAAAUCAAUUACUAUGUUAGUACUAAGGCUUUUAGAACUAUUUUUGAGAUUGCAACUCUUUUCCUUCCUUUUCAGCCUAGUUAGUCUUCAUUCGAGGAUGAAUGUUUCCAAGGGGUAGAUAUUGUAAAACCCCAAAAAUCUAAAAGAUCCUAUCUCAGACUUAGAAUAGAUUAUAGGAAAAAAUCUAACUAUCUCAUACUCAGAAUAGAAAACAACAAAAAAUCCAACUUUAUCAUAAAACAACUCACUCCAUGAGUCUUGGAGUGAGAUAACAAGUCAGAGAAUGACUCAAGGUAGGCAACCAGCAGCAGUUCAUCCCCAAUACCAAUGACUUAGACCAUGAGUCAUGGUUUAUUUGUAUGAUUUAUUAUGAGACUUAUUCUGUGCAAUAGAAUCAAAAAUCCUAAAGGACGGAAAUUUCAUCUAUUGGCCACGACUUGAGACCACGAGCCAUAAGACCAGAAUAUGAGUCUUUGUGUAACGCCUUGAAGAUACUCUCUAGACGUUACAUGGUGCUUGGAACUAUAAGUAGCCAAAACUAACCUAUGAUAUCUGUUAAAAUCAUAGAUCUAUUACAUAAACUUGAAACAUGAGUGGGUACCGAUGAAAACUUAUUAACUGGAUUAAAAUAAAGGAACAAUCUCAAUAAAAUAUUAUAACUCAUUAACAUUCAAAUCUAUGAGAAACUAAAAGAACAUAUCAUCUAACUAGUCUAGAAAAGCCUCUAACUAAAACCAAAAGAGCCAUUUGGACACACCUCAGCUGACCAGAACUGGAAGCAUAACUUCUGAACUAAUAGUAAUCAACAUCUAAAAUAACAUAAACUUGGCCCUGAAACUAUAAGGACUCACUAACUAGAUAGUUGUAGAAAGUAUUGAUCGUGGCUAGUCGUGCUUUUGGGGAUGAGCAACAAAAGCUACAUUAUGAACAAUGUAGCCAUACAGACAUAUGUGAUCAGUACUUCUAGAAUAUACUGAGUAUAUAAGGGUGAAUCACAUAAGUAAAAACUAUCAUAUGGCAUAACUAAAAAAUAUACAUGCCAUGUGUAGAUGGAAUUUCCUUCAUUAUGAAUAAAACUGAAAGAUGAAAUAACAUAAGCAUAAGUCAUAAAACAAUAUUUAAAUAAGACCUGUGAGUCAUUACGCUUAGUUUCAAAUUUUUUUUACUUUUAUGGGAGAUUCUUAUAACCGACAUAAACCAUGUGAGCUAUGAUGGAGUCCAAUAUUAUACCCACAUCGAGGAGAGUUGUUCUAUCAUUGUCAUCAGAAUAGAACCUUAACUUUGAGUGAUCACUAAUUUUAACCUAUUUGGGGUGAGGAGACACUUACUGGUGAGGUCCCUUAACAUAUGGUAGCACUAGUUUUGGGGAAACAAGAUGCGCUAGACCCAUAUUCCCCUCUCAAUGCUAAAUUCUACUCCCAAAAAUUAUACUCGUAUGCUCGUACUUAUGAAAUCCACCUUAAAAUAGCAUAUGGGUUUAUAAACUAAAAAAUAAUUAUAUUUCUCUUGCUUAAAUCAUACUCAUCAAGAAACUUGUGUAUUUUAUGUCUUAUCUGAGAUCAUAAGAUCAAAAUAGAAAGAGAGAAGUAUCAAUUACUCCCUGAUGUUGUCUCUUUUUAUUCAUGGUACACCUGAACUUUAAGUCGUCAAAAGUACCCUACCCCCGCCCCCUAAGAAAAAAAAUUAUUGAUUUAGUAAGUCGUGUGCCCCUUAUUGGCCCAUGGACCACAACGUGUAAAACAGGCGCAUACACAUGGGAAAAACUACUUAUGUGUCUUUCCACGUGGAUAAAUACCAUCCACUUCCCUCAUAUUUAUCAUAUAUCAAAAAAUAACCCACUUUUACCCUUAAUUAACCAAUUUCUCUCUAAAAAAUUAUGUUUUUGAGUUUUCCUCCGCUCCAAAUUAGUGAAAUAUUGAAUUUUCAUUGAUCAAGUAAGCUAUUAUCUAAAAGAAAUUUUUUGUGUUAAAAAUAUGUAAUUAUUUUUUUUGGUUAGUGUUUCAUAGUAGUUUUUGAUUACCAUUUCGAUUAGGAUUUGUGGAGACUCACAUGUACAAAUAUGUUUCCUAUUAUAAUUAAUGGAGUAAGAAAUUGUAAUUUAAGUUAGGGAUGUCCAAAAAUUGAACCGAUAAAUAUGUUAUUGAUUUACAUUAUUGGAUUAAAGAUUUUUUAAUGAUUUUAUAAGAAAAUUUAUUGGCUUAUUGGUUUGGUUUUGAUUUUUUUAUUGGGUUAUUUGUAAACCGGUAACCCGAUAAGAUUAUACUAAAUUAUUAUUUUACACCCCAUAUAUAUAUAAAUAUAUAAGUAUAAUUUUGGUUACAAGUAAGAUUCAAUUUGUUUACAUUUAAGUUAAUACUUUUCAUGUAAUAUAAAAAUUACAUACACCAUAAUGCAUACAAUCGAGGAAUAUAUGUCCGAAAUUGUCAUACGACCAUGAAAUUCUCACAAUUGGAGGAGAUCCACAUGCACAUGGUGUUAGAAAUUACAUUUAAAGUAGAUAAAGUAGAAGCAAUAGAAAGAAUUUUUUUUAGAUCGAAAGUGAUGGAGGAAGAGGGAUAAUGGAAGUUUUUGAAAAAAUUAAAAAAACUAGAGUUUUUUUUUUAUUUUUUAACGUUGAGAGAAAAUGAUUUGGCAAAAAAUUAAAUCCAUCACUCACAUGAUGGAGUUUGAAAUCAAACAUUUUGCCACAUAGGCUAAAAAGGGUCACGUGACAUACUAAAACAACAAGUUCGGGGGGUGUACUUAAGACAACUCAAAGUUUAGGUGUACGAUGAAUAAAACGUGACAACUUCAGGGGGGAUACUUGAUACUUCUCUCAAAUAGAAACUUAAAUCAUGUUGUAAUACUUUGUAACUUGUCUUAUAAGAUUGAACUUCUUGUAAAUUGAGUACAUAAUAUUCAAAGUUGUAAUCAUUUACCAACUUAUAGAAAAUCAUGUCAAAAUAUCAAACUCAAUGCAUAAGAUCACUUUCAUGGAUAAAAAUAUAAGUAAACGUGAAAUUUUGUGCUACAUAAGACUUAAUUCAUAUAGAAACAUCAUAAUCUUAAAGUAAAAGAAAAGUGGGUGUGAACCCUAGUAAAUCAAUUUCUUAAAAUUCAAUUAAAAUCAAACUUUUGGGCACAAGGAAGUAAAUAUAUCCUUGUUAAAGCCCCACAUACCUGGACUUAUUGAAUUGCUUGAGGGAAACUUGAAUUGAAACCUUGGAAGCUUGAAUUUUGAAGAACAAACUCCUCUUUUGUGUUUUUUAGGGUUUUGGAAGAAGAGAGAUUGUUUAAUAUGUGUUAUGAGGGUGGUUUUGUGUAUAAUAUGACUAGAAGUCAUUUAAUAGGUGAAGUGCCAAAAAUCACUCGACCCAAACUCAAAAUAAUUAAAACUAGCAUUUCUGUAGCCUUGGGCAUGGCACGCCCUUAUCACACCACUCUAAGGAUGUGGCAUGCCCUUACUGCGACACACUCUUAUCACGAACCCUUACUUGUUUGGGGUCCCUAAAUGACCCCAAAUGCAUUCCAAAAAUUCCAAAACACUUCCGAAUGGUCCUAUUAUUAUUCUUUAUCAUAAUUCAACUCAAAAAUCACCACUAAACAUGAAGGAGGUAUCUAAAUAAAAUAAUAGAAAUUUUGGUGUCUAACAUUAUCUCCCUCUUGGGACCCAUUCAUCCUUGGAUGAAGGUGGGGAAUGAAUAGUGCCUAUAUCAAGGGAUCGCUAGACUAAGAUACAAGAAAAAAACCUUUCAUAUCAAGUAUUAGCUUAUAACUAAAAUGGCUCACUAGACAUGAACUUAAUAGGGUAAGAGUAAGGAUACGUACCAAUAGAUUAGACUUAAUUGAAUUUCUUACCUUAUAAAAACUUUAUGCUAGAAGUUAAUAGGUGACGAUAUUGACUCAUCAUGUUUGCCUAUGCUUCACAAGUCGCUCCCUCAGCCAGUUGAUUUCUCCAAAGAACUUUCACUGAAGCAACCUCUUUAUUCCUUAGCCUUUGAAUUUGUCGGUCAAGGAUAUGAACUGUAAUCUCUUUGUAGGAAAAGCUAUCCUUCACCCCAAUACUCUCUACGAGUACUACUAAAUAUGGGUCCCCAGUGCAUCUUCUUAGCAUCGACACAGGGAAAAUUGGAUGGACAACGGCUAAGUCUAAUGGAAGGUCUAACUCAUAAGAAACUUUCCCAGCGCACUUCACUAUUUUAUAUGGACCAAUAUAUCAGGGACUAAGCCUUCCUUUCUUCCCAAAUAUCAUUAUCCCCUUUAUGGGAGAUACAUUAAAAAACACACAAGCACCCACUUUAAAUUUUAGUUCUCUCCUCCUUACACCUACAUACAAUUUCUGACAACUUUGAGCAAUUUUAAACCUCUCACAAAUCAACUAAACUUUCUCCAUAGCUUUAAGAAAAACGUCCAACACAACCAAGUUUGUUUCACCAACUUUGAACCAACCUAUUGGUGACCUACACCUAUACCCGUACAAUGCUUCAAAGGGAGCCAUCUGAAUACUAGCAUGAUAACUAUUGUUAUAGGAAAACUAUUAAAGGUAAAUGAUCGACCCAAUUUCCUUUCAACUCCAUCACAUAGGCUCUCAAAAUGUAUUUCAAUGUAUGAAUCAUAUGCUCAGCCUGACCAUUUUUUUAUGGAUGAAAAGUCAUACUAACCUUCACCUUUGUACCAAGGCAUUUCUAAAAUUAAUGCCAAAACAGGAAAGUGAAUUGUAUACCUCUAUUUGAAAUGAUGGACAAGGAAAUUCCAUGGAUCCUUACCAGCUCAUGCAUAUACAUCUUAGCAUAAUCUUCCACUAUACGUAAGGUCUUAAUUGGUAAAAAAUGGGGUGAUUUUGUCAUUCGAUCCAUGAUGACCCAAAUUGAUUCAUAAUAACGUUUGGUGAGAGGAAGUCCAGCAAUAAAAUCCAUAUUAAUAACCUCCUACUUCAAAGUAGGAAUGCAAAUAUCUUAAAGUGUACCUCCGAGCCUUUGAUGCUCUAUCUUUACUUACUUACAAUUGGGAUACUUGUCCAUAAACUCUGCUAUGUUCCUCUUUAUACCAUUCCACCAAUCAAUUUACCACAGCUCAUGGUACAUCUUAGAAGCACUAGGAUGAAUCAAAUACUUUGAAAUGUAAGCCUCUGCUAAUAUCUUUUUUCUCAAUUCAUAAAAAUUAGGAACAAAUAUCCGACCUUGAUAGUGAAAAACACCAUCUCCCCUUAGGAGAAAACCUCAAUCUUUUGUUGCUAAACAACAUCUAAUAUCUAGCUAAGUAUUGGAUCAUUAUGUUUCUUCUCUUUGACUUCAACCACUAAGGAUAAUUCAAAAAUGUUCUGAACAACUACACCCCUGUCAUACAUAUUAAGUAAACAAAUACCCAAGUGGUCUAGUCUUUCUUGCCCAGUUCCUACUCUUCCUUUUUUACAUGAGUGAUGCUUCGAAUUUUGAUAGAUUAUUUUACAUCCUUUUCAAGGGAUAAUUAUACGUCAAGAAACUGAUGUUGUAUUUAAUAAUGGAUUUUUGUGUUUUCAGGUCAAGGAUUUAGCUGAAGAAGAAACUUGGGAAAAUAGCAGAAAAAGGUUACCGACGUUCAAACUGACAAACCAUCAGCCAAGCGAUGAACCACCAAGAUGACCAUCAGUGUUACACAGAAAGAACUAAGUAAUUGACUCCUGCGAUGGUCUAAGUGAUAGACCGUAGGACCUCUAACGGCUUGUCAACUUAGCCGUCAAGCUGGAAUAGUGAAUGCCAUUUCAGAGAAUCAAACGACGGACUGUGCGAUGGACCGCCAGGCCAGCGGUGUCCCAUCAACUAGACCGUCACCUCUUAACCAGAAAGUGAAAAGGUAGUACACUCAGUAAUGGUCCACGAGAUAGACCGUCAGGCCACUGAUGGGCCAUGAACACGAUCGUCAACCUUGACGUGACUUUAAUGAAUUCAAAUUCCAAAUCCUCAGUACCUGGGAUCAUAUAAAUACACAGUUUAGGUUUGUUUAGGUAUCUUUAUCUUAUUUCAAUCUACAAAAUCAUUAUAACAUAGUAUUCAUUGAGAUUUUAGCUACAAUUAUAGAUCUAGUAUUUCUUAUUCAUACUCUCAUUGAAGAUUCAAGAAAAACAAUUCUUAUAAUUUUUGUAAGUAAUUCUCUGAAUCCAUUUGUAAGGAACACAAUGAUUUCUUCUUCUUCUUCUUCUCUUGAGAUGUGUGGCUAAGCUCCCACAACUAGGGUUAUAGGAACCUUGAUGUGAAUAGCUGAUUGGGGUUGUGAAAUACUUAAUUUUCAUAUGUAAUUGAGAUUGUAUAAACCCUUCUUCAUAUUAAAGAUCUUUUUUGGUUG